rnacentral:lncRNA from 10 species
GAUCACUCUUGGUUCAUUCAAAGGGUGGACACUUAGGUGGCCAAUGAAUCUCUUCCUAUAUUGGACUUGAAACUUAGAAAAUUACACAGUAAAGCAACAAAGCUCAAGAAAUGUACAAAACCAUGUUUGAUGCCACAAGGAACAGGAAAAGUGAAGCAUCAUAUGAAGAAGUAAUACAUUAAUCAAGCCAACAUGGGAAGGAGAAAACAGAUGAAAUAUAGUCAAGUUUCUCCUUCCAGCCAUGGGCUUCGACAAAGUUCUCAGAGAAACAGACUCCCAGACGACGCUGGCCAUUCCCUGGCAACGGCCAGGUUUGCCAUUAUCCAGCCACUCUGAGACCUGUUAUCAGGCCUGAGGUGAGUCUUAAGAAGUCAGGGAUAAAGUCAGAGGUCUUGGGGUGCAGUGCCCUAGCUUUCUAAUAUUGGGAGCUCCCCUUGCUAAGUGAGAAAGACUCCCAAUUGACCCACUCUCUUCCAUCCAACUUGGGACAUUGGCUCUGUUUCCACCUGAUACACAGGGCCUGAUGGUCAGGUCCAGGACUCCUACAGAUGUGCAUCUGUGGCACAGGAUUGUGGGCAAAAGCUUCACAAUACCCAAAUCCCUUAAGCUCCUGUAAGUCACAGGAGAUGGGGAAACUACCCACUUCAUUCUUGGAGUUCCAGGAAGGCCUUAAUUCUGAGGCCUACAGUUUCCAGGGUGCUAAGAAGGGAGUAAAUUUAUCUCUGGGAGCGUCCUCACUACAUCCCACUGCAGGUUCUGAAAGAUGUCCUUGUUACAGAGACUGAGGGAAGUCUCUACUCCCCCUCACCUCUGCUCCCAACUCUGUCCUUCCCCUACUUGCAGCCUCUGUUGGUUGAUUUAUGCCAGAUCUCUUAACUUCUAUGUAUGCAAACCAGUGUGAGGCUCAAGCCCUCUAAUAGAGGCCCCUUAAGGUGGCUUCUUAGCCCUAUGUUGUUUUAACCUCUAGAUGCCAUGGGACUCCCUCCAGGAACUCUUUUAUGAUGAUAGUACAUUGAACAUAAAGGAAGAUAUAGAUACACGAAAAUGUUAAGUUGCAGAAGAGGAAAGAUGGGGGAGCUCACAUAAGAUGGCUUCAAUCUUCUCAGUGGAGGAGGAUUGGAGGUAAUUUGCUUUUAAUUAAGAGGACAGAGUAGUGUUAGAGGGCCCAGGAAACUUAAAAAAAAGGCUUGGAAUGACAGGCUGAGGGAAAUUAUGAGAUUCAACAUAUUAAUACAACUCUACUCAACAAUAGUUGAAGACCCAGGAUGGGUGAGUACAGUGUCUUCAGUAGAGAUUUCUUUAUUCCUCUAGAAAAGCUGGACAGUCUAAAAGUAGGAGCAGAGAAAAAUGACACUGAGUUGUACCCUGACCUGGGAGAUGCCAUGUGGGAAUAGCAGAAGAUAAAAAGUCCUAGGGAUACUAGAGGUGGUAGAGACAUCUUUCAAUGUUGUGACUAUCACACAAGAAACAAAGCAGCAGGGGAGGAAGAUAAUGAGAGCCAAAUGAUUUGGUUUGAGUUCAAGGUUUUAAAGAAAUAACAGUUGGGGGUGAUUUUACAGAGAGGUUGAAGUGUAAUUAAGAUCAAAGUCACUGGUGAAUGUAAAAAAAUAUGUUGUGAAGCCAAGACUUUAACAGGUUGUUCAGGAAUAGAAUUGUGAGUAAAACAAAAGCAAAAUUAAAUAUCAUCUCCAGCACACCACCACCACCGCUACCACUCAUCACCACCAACACUAACAGCAAGAACACAAUCUGUUUGCCACAUGUGUAAAGCACUAGGAAAUUUAGCAGAGUGUCCCAGAGGGUGAAGCAUAAAUUAAAUAAAGGGAGUGGAUUAUUCGAAUUAUAUGAAUUCCAAAAGGAGAAGUUGUUGAAGGAUGGGGGUAACAAUAUUCGCUGGAGUAAAAGUGAGUUACAUAGAGUCCAUUUGUGAAAAAUACCAUGUUAUCAGGUUUCAUAUGAAUGAAAGAUGUCAAAAGAGUGUUUGAAAAAAAUUUCUGAAGGGUGUUUAUGGGACAGAGGAGAGGGCUGGGCAAAAAGUAGUAAGAGAGGAAUUGGCCUGGAAUUGAUGAUGCUAUAAAUGAGAGAAGGCAAGAAGUAAUAGUGGUGAAAGAUUUGGAAGGGGCUUUGGAGAGAAAUGAAAGUAAAAGAGAAGGAGAAAAACAAAAUAAGGCUACUCUUGGGGAGGAUCACAGAAGGCUAGUAGAAGGGCAUUUAUCUGGAAAUCUGAACAGCAAAAGCAUUCAAAUAAAGCAAUUGUUAUAAAAGGAUUAUGUGUGGUCAUCCAUUAAAAAAGAAGUCAUACCAAUGUACUGUUUAAAAAUGAUUUGCUGGAGUACUGAGGCUAAGUAAUGGUGUGAUGCAGAAACAGUGGUCCCUAAAAACUUGGUUUGUGAUGGCAAGUUCACCUAAGUCAUGGGAUAUAGAAUCCAAGUAUGGACUUUAAGACAAGCAACACUGUAACUAAUAAUAUUUGAGAAAUCAGAAAUGAUGGUUCCUAGUUGUUAUAUCUUAGCAGGUAAAAAAAGUGUUUCAAUGUGUUGAAUUACUAAUAGGCAGAUAUCUAAUUUUUAAUAGAUAGGCAGAAAAUUUCACUAACAGAUAUUUUAACUCUUGAUUUUUCUAUGUAUCUAAAAAUAGAUAUUUUCCUAAAAGUAAUUUAAUGCUUUGAAACAUUAAAAUUACACACACACACACACACACACAAACACACACACACACUUUGUUACUCUGUAGGAGAUGGAAAAUCCAAGAGCUAAAAUUUGGGAGAUGGCAGGGCUACAUCACAUUAAGUGGUAGAAGCAAAAGGCCCUUUGGGAAUAAAUGUAUCUAACUCCAGAAAUACUGUUACUCUUGAAACAGAUCAGAUCCUGUUCAUUUCAGGUAAAUGAUCUUUGAAAUCAGUUUCAAGUUUCUAGUCAAGAAAGUAGAUAUGAGAUUCUACCUCUAUAAAUUUACCUCCCAUUACAAAAUGAGCAAUAGUAAUAUUGUUUUAGGAGCCACAACUAUUUUUAGUUCAAGUAACAUCUUAUGUAGCAUCUUUGAGAACUCAUUUUUUUCCAUGCAAAUAGUCUAACUAUUUAAGGAAUAUAGAGAGCACAAAACAUGGGUAAAGACAUACUGUUUCGGGCUGGGCAUGGUGGCUCACGCCUGUAAUCCUAGCACUUUGGGAGGCACAGGCAGGCAGAUUGCCUGAGCUCAAGGGUUCGAGACUAGCCUGGUCAACAUGGUGAGACCCUGUCUCUAUUAAAUUACAAAAAAAAUUACCUGGGUGUGGCGGCAUGCACCUGUAAUCCUAGCUACUUGGGAGGCUGAGGCAGGAGAAUUGCUUGAACCCAGGAGGUGGAGCUUGCAGUGAGCUGAGAUCGCGCCACUGCACUCCAGCCUGGGCAACAGGGUGAGACUCCAUCUUAAAAAAAAAAAAAAAAGGACAUACUGUUUCUCUAACUUUUGCGAUGUGUUUCACAUUUUGAUGUAAUUGACUUCGCUUAUGUUUUGGAGUUUUUGUUGUCCCUCCACCUGCCUUGGAAGACUUGUAGAAAAUCAGAAUUUUGUGAGAUUCCAAUGCAAAGGAAAUCAUUUAGUUUUACUUUAAGCAACUCUUAAGUAGGCAAGAGUAUUAGGAUUCUCCAGAGAAACAGAACUAAAUAUGUCUAUAUAUGUAUAUAAAAUAUAUACUUCUAUGUAAAUCUAUAUUGUACAUGCAAACACACACACGCACCCACACAUGCGUGUGCACACACACACAGAGAAAGUAAAAAAGUGGUUCACAUUAUUGUGGAGGCUGGAGUCCCAAGAUCUGCAGUGGGCAAGCUGAAAAUACAGGGGAAGUCAUGGUAUAAGAUUUAGUCCAAGUUGGAAGGGCUGAGAACUCAGAGUCAAUGAUUAAGUUCCAGCCUGAGGGCUAGAGAAGAUCAAUGUCUCAGCUCAAGCUGUCAGGCAGGCUAAGUAUCCUCUUAACGCAACCAUUUUGCUCUAUUCUGAUAUUCAGUUGAUUAAAUGAGACCCACACUCAUUGGAGAAGGCAAGCCACUUUACUCAAUUUACCAAUUCAAGUGUUACUAUCACCCAGAAACAUCCUCACAAAAACGCCCAGAAUAAUGUUUGACCAAAUGUUGGGAACCCCAUUGCCCAGUCAAAUGAACCCAUAAAAUUAAUGAUCACAAUUGGAGAAAUAAUCAUUUGUAACUGCUGUGCCAAAUUCUUUCUGUAGUUUUGUCUAUACCAUGGCUAGACAUGUGCAUGAAAGAUAUUUCAUAUUGAAAGAUAAAUAUAUUUAAAGAAUAAAUAUCAUUAUGAAAAACUUGCUUAAGACUGGUAUUAUCGUGAGUGUGUGUGUGUGUGUGUGUGUGUGUGUGUGUGAGUUGGGAUCUCUCUCUGUCUCUCAGGCUGGAAUGCAGUGGUUCUAUCAUGGCUCGUGGCAGCCUCAAACUUCUGGGCUCAAGCAAUUCUCCCAUCUCAUCAUCCCAAGUAGCUACGACUACAAGUGCAUGUCACCAUGUCUAGCUAAAGUUGUUUCUUUUUAUUUUUGUACAGGCAGGAUCUUGCUAUGUUGCCCAGGCUGGUUUUGAACUUCUGGCCUAAAGUGAUCCUCCUGCCUUGGCCUCCCAAAGUGCUGGGAUUACAGACGUGACUCAUCGUGCCCAUCCUCCUAUUAUCUUUUUAACAUUUUUGCUUUCUUUGAGAUUUUAUAUACUACAAAGAAUGUCAAGUUGGGUAGAUUUAUUGUAAAUAGAAUAAGGUAUCUCUGGAUUUGUGUUUAUAGCAUUAAAGACUUCAAUAAAGAUUUAUACAUUAUAUCUG